CUCUGGGCUAUUAAGGCCACUAAAUUCGGGUAUGCCUGGAAGGUGGGUAAUGGCAAGAGUAUUAGAUUUUGGGAAGAUUGCUGGUGUGGUGAGACUAAUCUUGCUACUCAGUACUGGGGGCUUUACUCCAUUGCUGUGGACCAGCAUGCUACCAUUGAUGAGGUUUGGGAUGGGGUCAACUUGAAGAUUAAUUUCAGGAGAUGUUUCUCCUCCAGCAUGAUGAUUGACUGGAAUAACCUUUUUGAGGAGAUUAAAACUCUAGUUCUGAUUGACAGACCUGAUACCCUUGUAUGGAAAUACGAGACGAAGGGACUGUAUGCAGUAAAAUCCUUUUACAAUGUUGUUAAUUUUAGGGGGAUCCUCCCUGGGAAUAUUCCUGUGGUGUGGAAAAUAAAAAUACCUCCUAGAAUUCAAUUUUUUCUCUGGUUGAUUGCACAAAAUAAACUCUUAACCAGAGACAACCUUUGCAAGAGACAACAUGUUCCAGAUAUAACUUGCCUUUUUUUGUUCUGA
rnacentral:rRNA from 1 species